ensembl:lncRNA
CUGACCUCACGCCCCGUCCUGGAACACAGCAGGGGCUCCUGCGGGAAGGCCAGACCUCGACCUUCCAUCUUCUCUCUGGCCUGGAGCAGCCCCGGAGCCUGACUGACAUCGGGCGACUCCUCGCCCUGCUUCGCAAAGCUCGACCGCCACCUCCCCGCCCUCUCCACACCCGCCCUGCCUCUCCCCACUCCUGCCUGCAAUUUGUCGGGGAGAGUCCUUCCACUUGAGGGCUACGACAUGGGAUCUGUUGCCAAAACAUUCCGUCAGCCACGCACAUCAACCUAGAACUCCAGCUUAUUCUCCAGCUUCUGGCUCAAGUGAUGCUAAAUUGGAAAAGAAACAACAAUGAUGAUAACAAUAGCAGCAGCUAACACUGAACUCCUAUUUUGUGCAAGGCACUUGGUAAGCAUUUUUACACGAAUUAUCUUAUUUAACUGAACUUUUAAAAUCAUCCUGUGACGUUGCUCUUAUUACUGUUAUUCCUAUUUUGCACGAGAGAACAAGCGAAAAGAAAUGAUUUGUCAGUGACGGUGUAACCUUAAGAUUUUUGUGCAGGAGUACAAACCCAAAUCACCGAUUCCAGGGCUCUUCUCUUCAUUAGUGCUGCUGUCUCCACUGUGGGUAUCACCAUCAGUUCAGUUCAGUCACUCAGUCGUGCCCAACU